CCUACUACUACUACUCUUGACCUCUGGCUUUCGUUCAUUCAUCGUUAUAUUCCCCAAUAAAUCAUCAAACCCUGCUGAACUCGAGCUCUUGUUGUUAUUCCUCUCAUUCCUCCCCAAUUUCCCGAGCAGAUCAUCAAACUGAUCAUUCCGAUUAUUACUAGAAUUAUUACUCUGACUCCUCCUAGGAGGCGACGCCAUGGAUGCAAACACAUCGUCAUCAAACUUCCCCGCAGACGACUCAGAUUUGCUUUUCAUCCCCGGCAAUCCGUCAAAUAUAUCCUCGUCGUACACGGGCUUAUCAUAAACUGGAGCCGAGGAAGUCUUGGGAUGGUUAUUACUGUUACUGUUAGCGGGCGCAGAGGAGGAGGAUUUGAAAAUGGAGUCGUAAUCGAAAUCAUUCCCCG
rnacentral:lncRNA from 1 species